rnacentral:rRNA from 1 species
CAGCACCUCAAGUGGUCAGGAUGGUUAUUGGGCCUAAAGCAUCCGUAGCCGGCGCUGUAAGUUUUCGGUUAAAUCUGUACGCUCAACGUACAGGCUGCCGGGAAUACUGCAGCGCUAGGGAGUGGGAGAGGUAGACGGUACUCGGUAGGAAGGGGUAAAAUCCUUUGAUCUAUUGAUGACCACCUGUGGCGAAGGCGGUCUACCAGAACACGUCCGACGGUGAGGGAUGAAAGCUGGGGGAGCAAACCGGAUUAGAGACCCGAGUAGUCC